rnacentral:rRNA from 1 species
UCGAGGAUCUUCGGCAAUGGGCGCAAGCCUGACCGAGCGACGCCGCGUGUGCGAUGAAGGCCUUCGGGUUGUAAAGCACUGUCGAGGGGGAGGAAGGCCCGCAAGGGCUUGACCUAUCCCUGGAGGAAGCACGGGCUAAGUUCGUGCCAGCAGCCGCGGUAAGACGAACCGUGCGAACGUUGUUCGGAUUCACUGGGCUUAAAGGGCGCGUAGGCGGCUUGCCAAGUCAGGGGUGAAAUCUUUCGGCUCAACCGGAAAAGUGCUUCUGAUACUGGCGGGCUGGAGGAGGGUAGGGGCGGGCGGAACUUCCGGUGGAGCGGUGAAAUGCGUAGAUAUCGGAAGGAACGCCGGUGGCGAAAGCGGCCCGCUGGACCCUUUCUGACGCUGAGGCGCGAAAGCCAGGGGAGCAAACGGGAUUAGAUACCCCCGUAGUCC